GCACAGAUGGCCGAGCUGGUCUAAGGCGUGUGACUCAAGUUCACAUAUCGUAAGAUGCGUGGGUUCGAAUCCCACUCUGUGCA